rnacentral:lncRNA from 10 species
GAAACUGGAAACUCUGGCCUGUCGGCUACUUUUGCUCGUACCAGCAGGUGUGCACUGCCGCGUCAAUCUCCAACAAAGCCGGAAAAGCAGCCUGGCGCAUGUGCAAAGGAAGUCCCUCCUACCACUACCGAGCCGAGAUGACCAAUGGGAGACGGCCAUCUGCGCCUGCGCAAAAAAGUCGCCAAUGUUCAUUUCCGGUCUUUUUCGCCCCGCCCUUCAAAUGCGAAAGCGACUGCCUUCUUGGUAGACAGGGUGUCGCCAUGUUUGCCAGGCUGGCCUCGAACUCCUGACCUCAAGUGAUUUGCCUGCCUUGGCUUCCCAAAGUGCUGGGAUUACAGGCAUGAGCCACCACGUCUGGACAUAAACCCAGUAAUUUUGUACGAUUUAUAAAACAAUGUAGUCUGCAGGAACUAAGGCUAUGUUUUGCCUCAAAUGUUCUUUGUUUUCAGAAUAAAAUACUUGGUCAGUGGAAUCUCUUCAACAAAAUAGAAGAGAAGCAGUCAUGGAGUGAAGAAAUAAAUCAUCUUUGUUUCUACUCAUCUGUCACUUAUGCAAUACAUACAAUAUGUAAAAAGGAAAAAUCCCUGUGUAAUAGCCUAAGGCAACCAGCAGCUUCCACGUCGGUUGGAUAUUAAUAAAUUUUUUUCUUUACUGUAAAAUAUACCCAUCAGCUUUUUUUUUUUUUUUUUUUUUUGAGAUGGAGUCUUGCACUGUCACCCAGGCUGGAGUGCAGUGGCGCAAUCUCCACCCACUGCAAGCUCUGCCUCCUGGGUUCACACCAUUCUCCUGCCUCAGCCUCCCAAGUAGCUGGGACUACAGGCGCCCGCCACCACACCCGGCUAGUUUUUUGUACUUUUAGUAGAGACGAGGUUUCACCAUAUUAGCCAGGAUGGUCUCGAUCUCCUGACCUCGUGAUCCACCUGCCUCGGCCUCCCAAAGUGCUGGGAUUACAGGCAUGAGCCACCGCACCCGGCCACUAGCUUUUCUAAGACACUUUGUUUGUUUUUAAAUACCAGACCUCUGCUAUGACAAUGUUUGAUUUUGUAAACUUCAGGUCAAAUCAUGUCUUCUGAAAAGUAACUGCAUAUAAAACACGUUGAGACAUUUGCUUAAGAUGUUGAUCCUGGUUUCAAGUAACAGCAUAAGGGAAUUCCUUUGAAUUUUCUUUUAUCAAGCACCCUUUACUAACAUCACAAAGAUGCAUGCAUAUUCCUUCAUUUAGUAUUUAUUGAAUGUCUACUAUGUGCAAGGCACUCACCCAUGGCCUGACAGACCACAUUCAAGUACAAAGAAUCAUUAGAG